rnacentral:rRNA from 1 species
UACGGGGGGAGCAAGCGUUGUUCGGAUUUACUGGGCGUAAAGGGCGCGUAGGCGGUCGUGACAAGUCACUUGCGAAAUCUCCGGGCUUAACUCGGAACGGUCAAGUGAUACUGUCGGACUAGAGUACGGAAGGGGCAACUGGAAUUCUCGGUGUAGCGGUGAAAUGCGUAGAUAUCGAGAGGAACACCUGCGGCGAAGGCGGGUUGCUGGGCUGAUACUGACGCUGAGGCGCGAAAGCUAGGGGAGCAAACGGG